GGGGGCGUUGGGCAUCGACGGUAAAGCCGACGAUUGUUCGCAAGCCGAGGCGGCCUCAGUCCUCGUAAAUAGAUGGGGCAAAUUAAUAAGUGCCAACUUGUUAUCAAAAGCAAAAGCAAUGUUAGCCUCCGCCUUCGGUGGUGGCUGUUGCCUCGCUCCGACUUUGGCCUAAGGGCCACAAGUCCAUCGUCCGCGUAAGCUUCCGUAGCGCGAUCGCGGUGUAACCCACGGAAGGUAGUUUGCAUGUGUUGCCGAUCGCCUGCAAAUGAAAUUCAAUCGGCUAGGCCCGUACGGCUUUUGCGUCUUUUAUACGGCCGGGUCAAAAAAAAUAAAAACGCUAAGCUUGUAGACGGCAGUAGUCACUCUUAUCGGACGCGAGUUCAACUCUCGCCGCCUCCACAC
rnacentral:tmRNA from 1 species